rnacentral:lncRNA from 1 species
AAGAUCAUCCCCACGCUGCCCUCGGACAAGCUCAGCAAGAUCCAGACGCUCAAGUUGGCCGCUCGCUACAUCGACUUCCUGUGCCAGGUGCUGCAGAGCGACGAGCUGGACCACAAGGUCGCCACCAGCUGCAACUUCCUGGCCCACGAGAGGCUCAGCUACGCCUUCUCCGUGUGGAGGAUGGAGGGCGCCUGGUCCAUGUCGGCGUCGCACUGAGCCGGGUCUCCGCCUCGAUGGAAGCAGCUCCAGCACCCAAAACCCCACCAGAACCUCCCUGGAGAGAGGAGGGAAGGACCCCAAACCCCUGACAGCCCCAGGGACCCCAAAAACUUUAGGGAUGAGCCCGAGGGAGCCGCAGCAGGAGCUGCUUUGGGUCGGUUCGGACGCUGCUGGAGGAACUCGGGGCUGUGAUUUAUUGUGGGCUCGCAGGUAAGGAACCAUCCCCAGAUCCCAAUUUCCUCCUGUGGGACUGCCAGAGAGCUGAGCCCUUCCCAGAGCAGGACAAUUCCUCCAGGAUGAGGGGAAGGGGAAGGGCUGGAGCCCCCCAAGGACCUCAGGGGUCCCCCCACUUUCAUCCCACUCCGAAGGCUCCGCGCCGGGACGAUUCCAUGGACUGUGUUCCCAUGGACUGUAUUGUGUUCCCAUGGAUUGUGAGGAUCCAGGGGGAUUUGGGGGCUGCUGACCCCCCAGGCACCCCCAGCCACUCCUGCCCCACGGAUUGGCCUCACCAAUGCCCCAAUUCCUGGAUUGGAACCUCCCAAUUCCUCAGGAUUUAUCAGGAAUCGAGGUUGGAUACAGAGCUGUCGGGAAUUUUUGGAUUUUGGGGCCAUUUGGGAACUCUGAGCAGGUUUGGGCUCUUUUGGGGGUGUGGGGAAAGGACAAUGGAGGUCUUGGCGUGCCCAAAUCGACCCCAAUAAAGCCCAGGGGGAAUUUCCAGGGUUCA